AUCCACCCGCCUUGGCCUCCCAAAAUGCUGGGAUUACAGGCGUGAGCCACUGCACCUGGCCCACUUUUGGAAUUCUUAAAAACAGGCAGUUUUAGUUUCACAGCAAAUUGAGCAGCAAGUACAGAGAUUACCCUUAUAUCUUCUGCCUCGACACAUGCACAACCUCCACCACUAUCAACAUUCCCCACCAGAGCGGUACCUUUGUUACAAGUGAUGCACCUGCAUUCACCUCAUUAUCACUCAGAGUCCGUAGUUUACCGUAGGGUUUGCCCUUUGCGUUGUACAUUCUAUGUGUUUGGACAAAUUUAUAAUGACAUGUAUCUACCAUUACAGUAUCAUAUUGUAUCAUUACAGUUUAAUGCCACGUAUCCACCAUUUUAGUAUAUGUCAUUGCAGUAUAAUUGUAUGUAUCCACCGUUACAGUAUUGUACAAAUACAGUAUCAUGUUGUAUCAUUAUAGUAUAUGACAAGUAUCCACCAUUAUAGUAUCAUAUUCAUCAUUAUUGUUUCAGUGUCCUAAAAUUUUUCUGUGCUUGACCUACUCAUGCCAUCCUCACUCUUAACUCUGGGCAACCAGUGUUUUUACUGCCUCCAUUGUUUUCCAUUUUUCAGAAUGUCACAUAGUUAGAAUAAUACAGUAUGUAGCCUUUUCAUAUUGACAUCUUUCACUUAGUAGUAUGUGUUUAAGUUCCCUCUGUUUCUUUUCAUGGCUUGAUAGCUGAUUUUUUAAAAAGCAUUGAAUAAUAAUCCACUGUCUGGAUGUACUGCAGUUUAUCCAUUUACCUACUGAAGUACAUCUUGGUUUCUUCCAAGUUUUGGCAGUUACGAAUAAUGCUGUUAUAAACAUCUGCAGGUUUUGUAUGGUGAUUUAAAAAAUUAAACUUACGAUUUUGAGAUAAUUAUAGGUAUAUUUAUAGUUGUAAGGAAUAAUACAGACAGAUCUUGUGUACCAUUUACCUGGUCUCCCCUAAUGGUAAUAGCUUGAAAAACUAUAGUACAAUAUCACAACCAAGAUACUGACAUUGAUACAGUCAAGACACAAAACAUUUCAAUCAUGAUAAGGAUUCCUGUUUUUUCUGUGGUGUAUGGCUGAAGUAGCAUGCUUAUUGUCUGUAAGUUUUCUGUCUCGCUAGGCUGUCUCUUUGCUGGUUCAUCUCUCUCUGCUGAAGAGAACAGUUUUGUUGUUGUUGUUGUUUUGUCUGCAUCCACUGGUAUUUCUGGCUUGCUGGCUUUUUUUUUUUUUUUCUCCCAUUCUGAGGUCUAUGAGGCAUAAAGAAAAUCCAAGAAACUCACUAUCAUGUCCCUUCUUGGGUCCUGAGGUUCAUAGAUAGUCUUCAUUCCUCUCUACAUAUUCCAGAGUCUUAUGUUUCUUCUGUAUAAAAUGGCCAUGGUUUUUAUUUAUACUUAGCAGGAGGAAUAGGGAAACAUAAGUCUAUCCAUCUUCCUGGAAGUAGAAGAGUUUAUGUAAAAUUGGUAUUAUUUAAUCCUUAAAUGUUGUAGAAUUUACCAAGGAUACUUUGUGGAUCAGGGGUUUUCUUUGUGGGAAAUUUUAAGUCAUGAAUUCAAUUUUUUAAACACAUAUGGGCUAUUUAGGUUAUACAUUUUACUUGGGUGAGCUUUGAUGGAGUCUCAUAGGGAACUGGUUCACUUCAUUUAAGUAGUUGAAUUUAAUUGCAGAAAAUUAUUCAUAUUCUUAUAAUCCUUUUAAUGUCUAUAGGAUUUAUGAUGAUAUCUCCCCUUCCAUCCUGAUUUUUUCAAGUUUUUGUUUUUUCUUUUUUCUUAUAAAUUCUGGUAAAUGUUUAUUAAUUUUAUUCAUUUUUAAAAAGAACCAGCUUUUGGUUUCAUAAAGUUUUAUAAUUUUUUUGUUUUCACUUUCAUUAAUUCUACUCUUUAUUAUUUCCUUCAUUUUGUUUACUUUGGGUUUGUUUUGCCAUUUUUUUCCUAGUUUCUUAAGGUGCAGCUUAGAUAAUUGAUUUGGGAACUUUUUUCAUUGCUGAUAUUCGCAUCUCAUGCUAUACAUUUCCCUCUAAGUUCUGCUUUAGCUAAUUGUUACCAAUUUUAUAUAUUUUUAUUUUUAUUUUAUUCAAUAUAGUUAGAAUUAUUUAGAAAUAUGCUAUUUAAUUUCCAAAUACUUGUGGGUUUUCUGAUAUCUUUCUGUUAUUGAUUUUUAGUUCAAUUAUGCUAUAGUCAGUUAAUAUACUGUGUAUGAUUUUAAUCCUCUCAUAUUGCUUUAUGACAUAAAAUAUAGUUGAUUUUGGUGAGUGUUCUGUGUACUCUUGAAAAGUAUGUGUAUUCUGACAUUGUUGGAGUGUCUGUAAAAUUGGUUAAGUUGGUUGAUAAUUUUGCCAAGUCUUUUUUAUCCUAAUUAGUUUUCUGUCUACUUGUUCUACUAAAUAUUGAGAGAGGAGUUUUGAAACCAACUAUAAUUAUGGAUUUGUUUAUUUCUUCUUUUGAUUCUAUCAUUUUUUUGCUUUAUGUAUUUUGACGCUUUGUUAUGAGGUGCCUAUACACUUAGGAUUGUUAUAUCCUCUUGAAAAAUUGACUUAUUAUAUAAUACUCCUCUUCAUCCAUGGUAAUAUUGCUUAUUUAAAAAUAUAGUUAGUUUGAUUUUUAUAUAGCCUCUACAACUUUCUUUUGAUUAGUGUUUUUAUAUUAUAUUUUUUCUCAUCUUUUUCUUCUAACCUGUGUUUAGCUGGAUACGUAGUUUUUUUGUCCUUUGUUUUGGUAAUCAGCUGUGCUGAAAGAGUUAAUGGGCAAGCUUGAGACUGCUAUCCUUAGAAAUGCCUGCUAGCAAGGUUGGCCUGUGGCUGGCAUCUAGAAACUUAGCUCCUCGUUAACGGUUAAUAGAAAAGGGUGGUUGACCAUAUCCAGACUGUGCAAACAAUUUGGUUUACAAUGAAUACCUACUUCCCAUUUGGAAGCAUGGAAUUUUGGAUGUGCUAGAAAGAGGGUGCCUAUGUGACCAGCUCCUAAUAAAAUCCUUGGGUGCUGGGGUCUCUAAUGGAAUUCCCUGGGCAGAAAUGUUACACAAAUGUUACUCCAUUUCCAGUGCUGGAGAGAGGAUGCACUCUAUGUGAUCCUUCAUGAGAGGGAGGCAGCAUAUGGAAACCUGUACAUGGGUUUCUCCUGACUCCACCUAUGUCUUUUCCCUUAUGAUCUGGCUAUGUGUGUAUUCUUACUACAGCACCAUAACAAAUUUUAGCCAUAUGUAUUAAUACAAUCAUAUGCUGAAACUCAUGAGUCCUUCUAGCAAAUCUCCAAAUGUAGGAGUGGUCUGGAGACAGGAUUCCUGACAUAACAGCAUAUAGGUAGGUCUUGCUUUUUAAAAAUUGGAUCUGGCAGUUCUAAACAGUACUCUGGGCACUUAAGCCGUUUAUAUUUAAUGUAGUUACCAAUACAGUAACUACUAUAAUUGUAGAUUAUUUAUUUAUUUUUUGGCUGCUCUAGGGCAAGAAUUGACAAACUUUUUUUUUUUUCCUGUAAAGUGUCAAAUAGUAAAUAAAUAUUACAGGCUUUGUGGGCCAUAUGAUCUCUGCUGACACUACUCAAUUCUGCUAUUGUAGCACAAAAAUAGCCAUAGACAAUGUAUAUAUGAAUGACUGUGGCUGUGUUCCAAUGUUUACUUGCCAAAACAGGUUGUGGGCUGGAUUUGGCCUGUUGGCUGACAGUUUGCUGAAUGCUGCUGUAGGAUUUACAAUACAUGUCUCUAACUCAUCACACCCUAACUUCAAAAUUAUACCACUCCACAUAUGCUGUAAGAAUCAUAUACAAUAUGCUUCUAUUUCUCUCAUUUUUCAUGCUGUUGUUGGCAUGUAUUUUGGUUUUACAUAUGCUUAAAGCCCACAGUAAAUUUUUAUUAUUUUUGUUUUAAACAGUCUAUUAUUUUUAAAAAAAGAUUUUGGAUGAGUAAAAAUGUCUUUCAUAUUACUCACAUAUUUACCAUCUGUGGAGACCAUUAUUUCUUUGUUUAGAUCCAAAUUUCCAUAUAUCAUUUUCUUUCUUUCUAAGAAAUUUCUUUCUCUCUCUUUUUUUUUUUUUUUUUUUAAGACGAAGUCUUGCCGUGUUGCCCAGGCUGGAGUGCAGUGGUGUGAUCUCGGCUCACCACAACCUCCGCCUCCUGGGUUCUAAGAAAUUUCUUUAACAUUUCUUGUCCCACAGGCUUGUUGGCUAUGAAUUAUUUCAGUUGUCUGAAAACAUCUUUACUUAGUUUUCUUUUUUGAAAGCUAUUUUUUCCUGGGCAAAGAAUUCUAAGUUUACAGUUUUUUUCUUUUAGUACUUUAAUGAUAGUUCUCCACUUUCUUCUGGCUUGCACAGCUUCUGACAAGAAGUCUGCCAUCAUUCUUUUCUUUGAUCCUUUAAAUAUAAUUUUUAUUUUUCUCCUCUUGCUGCUUUUAAAAUUUUUCUUUAUCCCUGGUUUCAGCAGUUUUAUUAUGAGGUGUAUUUACAAUGUUUUCAUUAGGCUUAUUCUGCAUGGGGCUUGUUGAGCUUCUUGUACCUAUAGGUUUUGUGGUUUUCAGCAAAUUUGCAAAACUGUGGCCCUUAUUUCUUCAAAUAGUUUUUUUGGCCCCCCCCUUCCCCAUCAACAACCCCAUCCUUUUGGGACACCAAUUACAUGUAUGUUAGACCACUUGAUAUUAUCCUACAGGACCUAGUAAUUUGUUUACUUUUUGGGACACCAAUUACAUGUAUGUUAGACCACUUGAUAUUAUCCUACAGGACCUAGUAAUUUGUUUACUUUUUUUGGUUUUUUCAUUAUUCUAGAUGUUUUUAUUGCUGUGUAUUCAUGGUUACUGAUCUUUUCUCCUGCAGUGCCUACUCAGCUGUGAAUCCUCUGAAGUUCAUUUUUUCAUAUCAAUAUUGUAUUUUUCAUCUCUAUAAAUUCCAUUUGCGUCUUUUAAUAAAUAUCUUACAUGUUCUACAUUA